AGUUCGUGGAGCGAUUUGUCUGGUUAAUUCCGAUAACGAACGAGACUCACGCCUGCUAAAUAGUGGCGGCCGCUCCGGCGGCUCGCGCUUACUUCUUAGAGGGACAAGCGGCGCCCAGCCGCGUGAAGCUGUGAGCAAUAACAGGU
rnacentral:rRNA from 1 species